UCUCUCUGAAUCUGCGAACGGCUCCGCAAACCAGUUGUAAACCAUAGCAGUGAUAUCCCAUAGAUCGUUGGAGGUCGACUGGGAACAUGGAUACCCCUGGUAAUUCUGAGGCUAAUACAUCUUAACGCUUUUACCUUUCUGGGCCUCGGAGCCUGGGGAGGGGACGUGCGAGCUUAAAAUACUGGGAUCAUUUCGUGAAAGAACGCACGUUCAGACCACCAUCUCCAGGAGCUGGUCCAAUGAGGGCCGGAUCCGGUGGCCGUUGCAACGGGCUUCUGACCUAUCAACUACACAGCAGCGUAACGGACAUGCUAUGGUGACAACGGGUACAGAGGAUUAGGGUUCGAUCCUGGAGAGUGGGCCUGAGAGAUU
rnacentral:rRNA from 1 species